AAGGUGAACAAAAUUUAUGCUGCAAGACUGGCAAGAUGCACACAAUUAGACAACAAGCUAAUUCAAAUUCUUUAAAAAACAGGUAACAUUUUUACCUUUUCAGGUAAGUAUUAAAGGCCUUUGCCACAUGAUCUUUGUGGGUAAAUCGUGUCCACUCAAGUUAAGUUAAUUUGCAUCUAAACAUUUACAAUGCCUGACACAAUGGCAUUACAAUAAUCUAUUUUUCUGUUUUGCGUUACUGAGUGCAAAGGCCUUUAUUUACACACUGACGCAUGCCAAGACUGCCGUCAUGGCAUGUGUCACUGUCUCUCUCUAACUGUUCUGUCUGUCUCUCUCUCUCUCUCGCUGGUCUGUCUGUCUCUCUCUCUGGUCUGUCUGUGUGUCUGGUAUCUGUCUGUGUGUCCUGUGUGUUUUGUAUCCGUCUGUCUGUCCUGUGUCAGAUUUAGGCUUAGAUUUCUUUUUUAGUCUCAACUUAAAUGGAUGAUUUUAGAGUUGAUUAGUCUUGAGCCGUCUGAUUUCUGCAGGAAAUUCUGGUACCUUAUUUUGAAAUGGCUGUAAUUUAAAUAUUUAAUUUUGGUCUUGAGUCUCAGUUAUCAUAGUUGCAACUUGGACUGUUGACAAAUGUGGAAGCUGAUGAAUCAUGUAGUAAAUGCAUCAAAUUAGAAUCUUUUCUCAACUGGUAAUUGCUUUGAUAAGAUAACUGGUUCCUGAUUUGAUUAUGAAGCUAAACUUUUGAUUUAUAUGCAAGUGUAGUCACAUUAGAUUGUAGGUGUUAUUCAGCCCAUGGAUAAUGUUAUGAAUAUACCUUAAAUCUGGCAUUUGUUGGCACACUUGAUAUCCACUUAAGUCUUAAACUUUACGCACUGCCAUCAGCCUUUGUAGUCGCUAACUGAAAUCAAAUUCAAUAUUAAUGCUGACUUGUCUCACGCUGCCAAGUUUAUUUCCCUCUAAAGGAGUUGAACCUUUUUGUGUUCAUAGUCUUUUUGUGCGUCAUGUUGGGAGGCCUCCCAGCAGGGGAUUUUUAUCUUCCGCCUGCAAAACUAUGUGUUACUCGCCUUAGGGAUGCAGGGCUAUCCUGCAUAGUUUCUUUCAAAAAUUAGAUUGUAGGUUGCAGGAUUAGAGCGCGUUAAUUUUCUUUAGGAGGACACAAACCUGGCAGAGAGACAACUCGGAUUAUUUAAGUGAAAGUUCAAACUUUUUAUCUUUCGAUACGAUGACAUGAAAUAAAACCUUUAUUCUGUUGGCUGAAUUCAGACAGAAAUCAGACAGAAGUUGGCUUCAUGUUAAAGACUGUUGUGCAAGUACCCUCUUGUAGAAGGAGUGAGCAGCUGGAGCUUUUUAAUUUAUUUUUCGUUAUUUGAUUUGUUUCUUGGAUUGACUUGGUGUCUGGAGCUUUGUGGUUAACAGUGAUCAUGUAAACGUGUAACUGUUUACAUGUCUUUUGCCUCUUAUUUGCGAAGCUGGCAGCUGGUUGGAUUGAUAGGACCUAAUGGCUUGCCCAAAGCGGGAUUUUUGAUAGAGCAUAGGGUUAACACCUCACCAUACACUCGCUAUUUCAGCGAACAAGUGUCUUUAGUCCGCUAUUACCCAUGACUUUCUUUCAAAUUUCCCAAUUUAGGCAGCUUGUAGAGUCAUUAGGAAGACGCUUAAUCCCAAUGUCUUGGUUGGUUGCAUGAGAAACUGCCAUCUCUGUGUGUUGGCGAAGUUCCUCCUGAUUUUUGUAGACUUGCCCUAAAGUUUCUCUCUGCUUUAACGCUUGUUGAGCUAUGCAUUAAAUGAUUCCUCCAACUUGUCUCCAUAUCAAAUUUUUCUCUCCCUGCAGCCUUCCACCACCCACUGCUGCUGUUGCAUCUGCUAAAGGUAGCCGUAUCCUGAUUCACUGCGUCUUCAUGUGUUGGGUAAGAAGUGUCAUUAGACUAUUAACAAUGUAAACACCUUUGAAAUGCUUGAUCUAAUUUACCCAAAUGGUUCAUCAGUUUAGGACAGAAAAUCAUUGAAUUUGACAUUUUUGGGGUCAGUAACCUGACCUCUAAAUGUUUGGGAAAACAUGCAAAAGAUCGCGAGCUCUCUGCAUGACCCAUCAGCAUCGAUGUUUGAGUUAUUUAAUUGCUCAAUUUUUAAAUCAGUCAAGAUUUUAUGAGCUGGGUCUUCUUCACACAACAGAGAACAAGGUAAAUUGAGUCGACUCGUAACAUGGUAAGGCAUUUCGUCUUUCCCCUUCUUCUCUGUGUGUGAGGAAAUCUGGCCACGGAUCCUGACUGAGUGGCAUACCAUGGCUGUGCAGUUUCCAAAAUCAGACAAGGAUCCAUCUGAUUUUGUGACUCGGCUUGUCAUGAUAUGCAUGUAUCUUCCUCUGAAACAAAGGAUUGGAGUGGUCAGGUUUGUAGUGUAAAUCACAUCACAUCACUUGUAGAUGGUGAAGCAUUUGUUUAAAUUGAGGUCAAGCAUUUUCAGGUGUCUGCUUUGUCAAUACUCUGGUGCCACGUCUUGCUAAACACACGAGAAGCUCUGAAUUGUGAAACUGCUGCCUCUUGCAGAUGUUACAACAGCAAUGGCUGUUGAAAGGCUACAGGGAGAGGAAAUGAGAUCUGAGGACAGGAAAGUGGAUUUGAUUUCAUGCUUAGCAAAAUGAGGGUUUCAGCAGAGGAACUUUUUGUGGCAAGGCUAAAGAAUCAGAAGGAACGUUUGUCUGGGCAACUGGGAGAUUUACAGUUUGUCAUGCAGCCAACCAAGACAUUGGCGUUAGCAUCAUCCCAAAUGGCUGGCAAAGAUUGCUUGUAACUGUCAGUGUAGGACAGGAAAGGCAGAUAUAGGUUAGGGAGGGCAUCCAUCGGUGAGCUCUGACUGGAUGUAAGGACCUGUCACACUUGACCAGAGAUGAAGGCUGCAGCACAUUCCUGGAUCAGAGGACUCCAUGUUGGACACCACGACGUGGAGAAGUCCCGUCCUGGAUGGCUGCGGUGAUGACCUAGCCCAAGAUGAACCGACCCUUCUACGACGAGGACUUUGCCCAAGAUGAACCGACCUUUCUACGACGAGGACUUUGCCCAAGAUGAACCAACCCUUCUACGACGAGGACUUUGCCCAAGAUGAACCAACCUUUUCCACCUCUUUUCCACGGGAUGUCUUCAGAUGCUGGACCUUGCCAAACUGUACACAUGCCUCAAUGGCUGCUACGUCACUCUGCCCAACAGGACAUGGUCACCGAGAUUUUUUAAAUUAUUUUAAAAUGGACUUUAACCCCCCCCUGUCCCACUGACCCACAACCACACACGACAAAACACUGUACAUGUGAUGCAUUACCACACUAAAAUACAGACACUGCUACUUUCAGCCUGUUUCAGUCUGUAAAAGAUCGCAAGCCCGCUGCAGGACCCAACAGCAUCGAUGUUUGAGUUAUUUAAUUGCUCAAUUUUUAAAUCAGUCAAGAGUUUAUGAGCUGGGUCUUCUUCACACAACAGAGAACAAGGUAAAUUGAGUCGACUCGUAACAUGGUAAGGCAUUUCGUCCUUCCCCUUCUUCUCUGUGUGUGAGGAAAUCUGACCACGGAUCCUGACUGAGUGGCAUACCAUGGCUGUGCAGUUUCCAAAAUCAGACAAGGAUCCAUCUGAUUUUGUGACUCGGCUUGUCAUGAUAUGCAUUUAUCUUCCUCCGAAACAAACGGUUGGAAUGGACAGGUUUGUAGUGUAAAUCACAUCACUUGUUGAUGGUGUACAGACACUGCUACU